UACAGAGGGUGCGAGCGUUGUUCGGAAUUAUUGGGCGUAAAGGGCGCGUAGGCGGUGCGGUAAGUCACCUGUGAAAUCUCCUGGCUCAACUGGGAGCUUGCAGGCGAAACUGCCGUGCUGGAGUGUGGGAGAGGUGCGUGGAAUUCCUGGUGUAGCGGUGAAAUGCGUAGAUAUCAAGGAGGAACACCUGUGGCGAAAGCGGCGCACUGGACCACAACUGACGCUGAGGCGCGAAAGCUAGGGGAGCAAACAGG
rnacentral:rRNA from 1 species